GGUUGAUGAAGGCGGCGGUGCCCGUGGAGUUGCAAGCCACCAUGUGGAAGCCCGCCUCGGAGAGCCGGUCAAAGGCUUGCUCCAGAUGCUUCCUGCACGUUCUGGAGUGCAUUCCUGCAGGUGCCUCCACUGCUCAACCUGGGACUCCUGGAGGCUGAACAUGGCUGAAGAACAUGUGGGGAAGCACCUCCAGACUCGAGCAGCUCUGAUGAACAGCCUGGAAGUGAAAGACAAACUGUUAAAUGAAGCAGACCAUUAUUUACCCUUCUUCUUAGAUUUCUGCCAUCAUAUUACAUUAAAAGAGGUUUCAGGACUCAGGAGCAGAUGCUGACCUGUGAGAAUGCAAGACACAGAUUUUAUAUGUAUUUGCAAGUGUGUUGCAUAGGAUCAAAGCAUAAAAACAAGUUUAAUCUUUUUUAAUUAAUUUAUCAGCUGCAAAUCUGUUUUUUAUGUGUAUAUAAAGAUUCUAUUAUCUACACUCUAGGCAUCAGCUUCCUAGUGAUAUUAAUGAGAUUGAUGUAAACUUGUUGUGAUGACAUUUAGUUAUAGAAAAACAUGUUUCCAAGUAAUGUAACAGUAGUUUUCUAGGACUAACAUGUACCCUUUUUCAUCAGUAGAUGUGCUUAUGGUUUACAGGAACACUAGCUAAAUACAAUUUAGUAUUUAUUGAACAUACAACAUGGACAAUUCUUUUUUUCCUUAGUAUUUUAAUGACGUGGAAAAACUUAAUUCUGAUUACGUAAUACAACUGUACCUCAUUGAAAUGUUCUCAUAUUGAAAAUUUCCUUCUACAGAAAUCAGAACUACAGAUGUAAAGUGGCUGUUUUCAGUGACUCAUCUGUUGCUACUGGUUUCUAAAACUGUCCAUUUGUUAUUAUCUAGAGUUAUAAUUCCUUAACCACACCUUAUAUCUCUGUUGUUUUAAAGUUCUGCUAAUUUAGAAUCUUAUUUUUUCUGUAGCUGGAUAACUUUAAAUUGUGCAGCAGGCUCAGAUGAAUUUUUACCUGUUGUUACCAACACAGUAAUGGUAUAGGAGGUAAAGAACUCAGGAUUAGACCAAAUCCUAACCAUUCAGGUGUUCCUUGCUUAUUUAAUGCAGGAAAUAACAUCCUCACAAAAUCCAUUUUGUACCUGCUGCCAGAUGAUAUUUCUCUGAUUCAUGGAGGAAAGUCCAUGUCUUUUGUCCCCUCUUUCAUACAGACACAUUUAUAGCAAUCUUUCAUCGUGUUCUUAACCAGAGGAAAAUUCUUUACCAGAGGCAAAAAAUGCAAGGCAGUGAUUAAAAGUUGAAGUUAUAGGGAGUAGUUCUUCGUUGAUUCUAAGAAAGGUUGUUACAGCAGCCAAAAGACACACGCCUAUACAUCACAGAGCUGUGCCACAUCUAGCAAAAGAAGCUUGAUGCUGCCAGCUUCCUGGUAGAAAUCCCUUUUAAAUCACAAUAAAAGACUAAAUCCCUAGCAUAAUACUUUCUGAAAAGAAAAAUACAGCCUGCCAGUAUCCUGCCUUAGCUGGGAGGUAAGGAAGAUUUCAUUCACUGUUUAUCAGUGUUUAUGCCCAUGCCCUUUCUGUACAGAUGGAAAUGUAGUGAAGCAGAAGCUAUUUGGGAAAUAGAAGCAGGCUGGCAAAGACUUACAGCAAGAUAUGAAAAUAAAAGGCUCAGUACUAUUUGUCAGAAAUGGCAAUGCAAACUAGCUCCAUAUCUGGAAUGAAGGCUUCACUUUUUCAAGCACUGUUAGCUUGUGGGUUGUUUGUGGGCUUUUUCCACAAUUUCUGGUCUUGAAUACUUAUAAAUUUAUAAGUGUUCUUAAUCAAAUGGCUGGUUUAUAUCUAAAUUGCAUAGGAAUGGAAAGCUGACCAAGGAGGAAGAAAACUAAGAUGUCAAAUUACUGUGUCUGAAGGUUUGUUGAACUAUUUUUAAGACUGUUUAAUGUGCCAGAGUCAUUGCUGGUUCUAGCAUGUAUUCUUCUGGCUCCUGUACUAAAAAAAUGAGCUUGAUGUCUCCUGAGGGACUGAAUUAUUUUUUUCCUAUUAAAUACAGGUUAUCUCUGCAAUCUUUCAGAAGUGUGUGUUUCAAAAUAUUGGAAACAAAAAUUAAAAUAAUUAAAUAAUUAUACUGAAACAUACAGAGAUACUUUUUCUUGAAGGCUAAACAAAUCAUGGAUCCAUAAAACAGGCAAGAAGAAAACCCUCAGACUCCUCUAUAUAGGUCUACAGUCUUGAAGUCAGUGCUUAGAAAAGGCAGCUAAGCUUGACAGGAAAGCAAGAAAUGAAAGGAAAUAUAUAGACAUGCUCCAAUCCCCAAGGUAUUACCUUCUCUGCCCUUCCUCCACCCUGCCUGCACUGCCAGAAGGCUUACCCUUGUGCACUGCACUCUAGUGCUGAUCCAGGACUCCAGCUGCUUUUUUCCAGAGGAAAGCCUACUGAAGAGAGGCUGCCUUUGCCCCUGGCACAGAAACUCUUCUCAUCUGCAUGGAUAAAGUGAAGGGUUAAGCUGAAGUAGUUAAAGCAGUCAUCUCAUUUAAUUUAAAACAAGAUGAAAAGCAAAAUGAACAGAGACUGAAGCAUGUGGUUUAGAACAGAAUAUCCCUGGAGUCCCUUAAGCCCUUCACAACUAAAACAUCAUGACAGAUUUUAGUAUUUUGGAAUCUCUCUCUUUCUCCUACUACUUCCAGAAAACCCUUGAUGUUCCAUAUCAGGGAAAGUUUAUAGGUAGUCUCAUGCCUGAGAGUCUCAUCCUGUCUCAUGCCAGGAUUAUGUUCACUGGUAUUAUGCCAGUUUUCUAGCCACCUCCAGAGCAGCAGCUUGUUUUUUCUCUUAGUCAAGGAUAUUCUUUUAAUGGCAAGAAUAGUAUGAAAAAAAUACUGCAGUAUUUUCUGUGGAGACCAGCCAAGGAAAAAAAAAAAAAAAGCUAAUCAAUUUAGUCUUCUUUUUAUUUGUUCUUUAUCUCAGUUCCUUGAUAUUUUCUUGUCCUGCACCAAUUAAAUUUUUUGCCAGACUUUUUUUUUCCCCCUUGAAUAACUUCGUUUUUUUACUUUUAAGCCAGGUAUCUUAAGCUUUAUUUUUCUAGAUUAUUGGGGCAUCCUCUCAUUUCUCUUUUUUUGCUGUGGUGAAUCAACCUUCACUAUGCAUCAGUGCAGUGUUUUAUUCAUAAUACAGUGGCCACAAUCUCUGGCUAUCUGCUAAGAUCAUCAGUUUUAAUACAUCUCUUUUAAGUGAUUUCUUCUUGCUGAUCAAAUAGAUGGAAAAUAAUACCAGGUAAUCAAAAGACAAAACCAUUUGCAAUCUGUAUUUCAAAUGAAAUGAGAAUUGCUAGUAAAGCACUUACUUUUGCGUGUCUAAAACUAAAAAAAUUUUCAUUAACAUGGGAAUAUGAGGACAGCCAAGGAUGAGCAAUAAUUCUGAAUCAAACCUUUUCUGUAAAAAUAUUAGUUAUUGCAAAAGAGUAUAGCUAUGAUCCAACUUUGUCAAUAUAUAGAAAGAUAUUAUUAGGAACAGUAAAGAUGUGGACCUUUGCCAAGAUGUGCAAGAUUAAAUUUCCAAAUCUUCUUCUCUUAGCUAUCUUUAAGUACUCUGUUCUUUGUAAAAUAUAUUUCUAUGUAUAAUCCUGCACACAAGAGUGACCUGUGGCCUGAAAAUUUUGGUCAUUCUUUUUCUCAGAAAACUUUGAAUAAACUACAUUCUAUUCAGCA